rnacentral:rRNA from 1 species
CAUGCAAGUCGAACGAAGUAGCAAUACUUAGUGGCAGACGGGUGAGUAACAUGUAGGUAUCUUCCCAUUGGUGAGGAAUAACACGAGGAAACUUGUGCUAAUACCUCAUAAGUCUUUACGGAGAAAGCUUUAUGCGCCGAUGGAUGAGCCUGCACUUGAUUAGUUUGUUGGUAGGGUAAUGGCCUACCAAGACAAUGAUCAAUAGCUGAUUUGAGAGGAUGAUCAGCCACAUUGGGACUGAGACACGGCCCAAACUCCUACGGGAGGCAGCAGUAGGGAAUCUUGCACAAUGGGGGAAACCCUGAUGCAGCGAUGCCGCGUAAGUGAAGAAGGCCUUUGGGUUGUAAAGCUCUUUCGUCGGGGAAGAAAAUGACUGUACCCGAAUAAGAAGGUCCGGCUAACUUCGUGCCAGCAGCCGCGGUAAUACGAAGGGACCUAGCGUAGUUCGGAAUUACUGGGCUUAAAGAGUUCGUAGGUGGUUAAAAAAGUUGGUGGUGAAAUCCCAGAGCUUAACUCUGGAACUGCCAUCAAAACUUUUUAGCUAGAGUAUGAUAGAGGAAAGCAGAAUUUCUAGUGUAGAGGUGAAAUUCGUAGAUAUUA